rnacentral:ncRNA from 1 species
UAGUUAGCUAUGACAAAGAAUAGUACAUACAACGAUCAUUUAAAGAGAGCCUGUGGCUGCUGUGAACAGGUAAUGAAGUGUAUGGAAUGGACUUUUGAGCUUCUGUGCAGAAAGAUAGUACGUACAGACGUAAUCUUGCGUUAAAGAUGUAAGUGAUUUCUACUAAAGAAAUAAGUAGGGUGGCACCGCGGUCCAUCGUCCCUAUC